GAUGAACGCUGGCGGCGUGCUUAACACAUGCAAGUCGAACGGUGAAAGAGGAGCUUGCUCCUCUGGAUCAGUGGCGAACGGGUGAGUAACACGUGAGCAAUCUGCCCCUGACUCUGGGAUAACAGCUGGAAACAGCUGCUAAUACCGGAUACGAGACGUGGUCGCAUGAUCAACGUCUGGAAAGAACUUCGGUCAGGGAUGAGCUCACGGCCUAUCAGCUUGUUGGUGAGGUAAUGGCUCACCAAGGCGACGACGGGUAGCCGGCCUGAGAGGGUGACCGGCCACACUGGGACUGAGACACGGCCCAGACUCCUACGGGAGGCAGCAGUGGGGAAUAUUGCACAAUGGGCGCAAGCCUGAUGCAGCAACGCCGCGUGAGGGACGACGGCCUUCGGGUUGUAAACCUCUUUUAGCAAGGAAGAAGCGAAAGUGACGGUACUUGCAGAAAAAGCGCCGGCUAACUACGUGCCAGCAGCCGCCGUAAUAC
rnacentral:rRNA from 1 species